rnacentral:rRNA from 1 species
UAUUAACACGUAUCUAUCUGCAGUCGACGACUCUGGUAUUGAUUGGUGCUUGCAUCAUGAUUUACAUUUGAGUGAGUGGCGAACUGGUGAGUAACACGUGGGAAACCUGCCCAGAAGCGGGGGAUAACACCUGGAAACAGAUGCUAAUACCGCAUAACAACUUGGACCGCAUGGUCCGAGUUUGAAAGAUGGCUUCGGCUAUCACUUUUGGAUGGUCCCGCGGCGUAUUAGCUAGAUGGUGGGGUAACGGCUCACCAUGGCAAUGAUACGUAGCCGACCUGAGAGGGUAAUCGGCCACAUUGGGACUGAGACACGGCCCAAACUCCUACGGGAGGCAGCAGUAGGGAAUCUUCCACAAUGGACGAAAGUCUGAUGGAGCAACGCCGCGUGAGUGAAGAAGGGUUUCGGCUCGUAAAACUCUGUUGUUAAAGAAGAACAUAUCUGAGAGUAACUGUUCAGGUAUUGACGGUAUUUAACCAGAAAGCCACGGCUAACUACGUGCCAGCAGCCGCGGUAAUACGUAGGUGGCAAGCGUUGUCCGGAUUUAUUGGGCGUAAAGCGAGCGCAGGCGGUUUUUUAAGUCUGAUGUGAAAGCCUUCGGCUCAACCGAAGAAGUGCAUCGGAAACUGGGAAACUUGAGUGCAGAAGAGGACAGUGGAACUCCAUGUGUAGCGGUGAAAUGCGUAGAUAUAUGGAAGAACACCAGUGGCGAAGGCGGCUGUCUGGUCUGUAACUGACGCUGAGGCUCGAAAGUAUGGGUAGCAAACAGGAUUAGAUACCCUGGUAGUCCAUACCGUAAACGAUGAAUGCUAAGUGUUGGAGGGUUUCCGCCCUUCAGUGCUGCAGCUAACGCAUUAAGCAUUCCGCCUGGGGAGUACGGCCGCAAGGCUGAAACUCAAAGGAAUUGACGGGGGCCCGCACAAGCGGUGGAGCAUGUGGUUUAAUUCGAAGCUACGCGAAGAACCUUACCAGGUCUUGACAUACUAUGCAAAUCUAAGAGAUUAGACGUUUCCCUUUCGGGGACAUGGAUACAGGGUGGGUGCAUGGUUGUCGUCAGCUCGUGUCGUGAGAUGUUGGGUUUAAGUCCCGCAACGAGCGCAACCCUUAUUAUCAGUUGCCAGCAUUUAAGUUGGGCACUCUGUGAGACUGCCAGUGACAACGAGGAGGUGGGAAUGACGGUUCAAUUCAUCCAUUGCCCCUUUAUGC